rnacentral:rRNA from 1 species
UACAGAGGGUGCGAGCGUUAAUCGGAAUUACUGGGCGUAAAGCGUGCGUAGACGGCUAUCUAAGUCGGGUGUGAAAUCUUGGAGCUUAACUCCGAAACUGCAUUCGAUACUGCCGUGCUUGAGGACUGGAGAGGAGACUGGAAUUUACGGUGUAGCGGUGAAAUGCGUAGAUAUCGUAAGGAAGACCAGUGGCGAAGGCGGGUCUCUGGACAGUUCCUGACGCUGAGGCACGAAGGUCAGGGGAGCAAACGGG